rnacentral:rRNA from 1 species
GACGAACGCUGGCGGCGUGCUUAGCACAUGCAAGUCGAACGGAAAGGCCCCUUUGGGGGUACUCGAGUGGCGAACGGGUGAGUAACACGUGAGUAACCUGCCCUUGACUUCGGGAUAACUUCAGGAAACUGGGGCUAAUACCGGAUAGGAAUCCUUGCUGCAUGGUGGGGGUUGGAAAGCUUCGGCGGUUUUGGAUGGACUCGCGGCUUAUCAGCUUGUUGGUGGGGUAGUGGCUUACCAAGGCUUUGACGGGUAGCCGGCCUGAGAGGGCGACCGGCCACAUUGGGACUGAGAUACGGCCCAGACUCCUACGGGAGGCAGCAGUGGGGAAUAUUGCACAAGGGGCGGAAGCCUGAUGCAGCAACGCCGCGGGCGGGAGGACGGCCUUCGGGUUGUAAACCGCUUUCAGCAGGGGCGAAGCUUGUGGUGACGGUACCUGCAGAAGAAGCACCGGCUAACUACGUG